UCUGGAGUCAACUCCAGCAUGCUUUGGGAGACAGAGGAGUUAUUAUAUUCAUUAAGGAAUAAGCCUCCAUCCUGGGCUGUGAUGAUGAUGACAAAGCCAUUGGUUACCCCACAGACCACACUGCUGAAGCCUCCAGCUCUGUAGACCCAAAACAUUAUACUCUAGCAACAGUUGGACCAAACCACAGAAGACCUGGACAAGUUCCAGGGAAUCUUCCCAGACUUGCAGGAAGUACUGAAUGCUCCAGGAGCAGGUGGAUUUGGCUGCCCUGGCUGACAAAAGCACAACUUCCUACAAUCUAGGCCUAGAUGGCCUAUGAAAUAUCCUACUUGCAGGAGCAGACAAGCCCACUGGACCAACUCCUAUCUCAUGCACCAAAAGACAGUCCAUGUUGAUCUGAUCAAGAAAACAUUAAAAUGAAUAUGGAAGGAAAGGGAAGAAAACUGUCCAGACGUCUGUCAAGCCAAGUAUCACAGAGAGUAGUAGA